GCCCGGUUAGCUCAGUCGGUAGAGCACCAGACUCUUAAUCUGGCUGUCGCGGGGUUCAAACCCCCCACUGUCUU
rnacentral:tRNA from 1 species